GUCUUUUAGAUUUUAAUUUAAAGUUUGUCCUGCUCUAUGAUUUAUUAUUAAAUGGCUGCAAUAAUUUAAUUGUACAAAGGUAGCAUAAUCAUUUGUUUUUUAAUUGAAAACUAGUAUGAAUGGUUUGAUGAAAAAUUUUUUUUAUUAAUUUAAUUUAUUGAAUUUUAUUUUAAGUAAAAAAUCUUAAAUUUUUUUAUGGGACGAGAAGACCCUUUAGAAUUUUAUUUUAGUUUAUUUAUUUAUAUUUGAUUAAUUUUUAUUUAUUUAAUUUUAGGAUUUGGUUGGGGUGAUUGGGAAAUUUUUUUAACUUUUUUUUUAUUUUUCAUUAAUUUUUGUUUUUUUGAUCCAUUUUAUUGAUUUUAAGAUUAAAUUACCUAAGGGAUAACAGCGUUAUUUAAUUGGAGAGUUCUUAUUGAUAAUUAAGUUUGCGA
rnacentral:rRNA from 1 species